rnacentral:rRNA from 1 species
CCUACGGGAGGCAGCAGUGGGGAAUAUUGCACAAUGGGGGAAACCCUGAUGCAGCGACGCCGCGUGAGUGAAGAAGUAAUUCGGUAUGUAAAGCUCUAUCAGCAGGGAAGAAAAUGACGGUACCUGAGUAAGAAGCCCCGGCUAACUACGUGCCAGCAGCCGCGGUAAUACGUAGGGGGCAAGCGUUAUCCGGAUUUACUGGGUGUAAAGGGAGCGUAGACGGCAGUGCAAGUCUGGAGUGAAAGGCGGGGGCUCAACCCCCGGACUGCUGUGGAAACUGUACGGCUGGAGUGCAGGAGAGGUAAGUGGAAUUCCUGGUGUAGCGGUGAAAUGCGUAGAUAUUAGGAGGAACACCAGUGGCGAAGGCGGUUUACUGGACUGUAACUGACGUUGAGGCUCGAAAGCGUGGGGAGCAAACAGGAUUAGAUACCCCAGUAGUC